rnacentral:rRNA from 1 species
UACGUAGGUGACCAGCGUUGUCCGGAUUUACUGGGCGUAAAGAGCGCGCAGGCGGUCGUUCAAGUCGAGUGUGAAAGCCCCCGGCUCAACUGGGGAGGGUCACUCGAUACUGAUCGACUUGAAGGCAGGAGAGGGAAGCGGAAUUCCCGGUGUAGUGGUGAAAUGCGUAGAGAUCGGGAGGAACACCAGUAGCGAAGGCGGCCGGCUGGGCCGACCCUGACGCUGAGGCGCGAAGGCGUGGGGAGCGAACGGG